UUGAUCGAAACAACGAUCUUCUUCUUGCGACUUUAUCGAAAUUGGGGGACGUAUCGAGACGCUGAAACCUUUUCUCCAAUUUCAAAUGUUAUUGCGUACUGUUAUAGUUGCGGGCGUAUCUUUAGAGAUUAUUAUCGCAUCCGGUCUGACGAUCGUCGUUGUGCCAUUGUCAGCUCGGUACCAGAGACGAACGGUACUUUGUCAAGAGGCGUGUGUUACACGAAAGUAGGUACAUGUGUCUGGCGCUACGUCCAACUGUCGCAUACGUAUGACGGUAUGUGCCAAGCGCCGUAUCGAAGAGAUUGAGAAACUACGUUAUACGUUUGCGUAUAUACAGUAUGUAGUUUGUGACGGUUAAUCUCGAAUAAGGAAGCGCGGUAUUUAGUAGCGGUUGCUGUACUCGACGAAACAAAGAGAAGAUACCGCGAUUAUACGACUACAGCAAUUAUAAUUAAAAAAACUUAUGCGUUUCAUCGAUCUACCGCCUGAAAUUUGCCCCAUGUCGCGUACAUAUACGAUCAAAAAUGAUGUAUCGAAAAAGAUAUACACGUGUAACGCAACGACGAAUUUAAAUGUAGAGAAUACGCGAAUAACGGCAAGGUACAUAUCAUUACCGUUAUACUUUGCGACUAAACCAGACGAAAGCGUUGUUCCUUCGCGGAUUUACGAAUCAACGUGUCGCAGUUUAUCUGUAAGUCUUCGGAGGAGACUCUGUUUACGCGAUCAAUCUAUGCAGGUAUAUAUUUGCAUUUCGCGUAGUCGCGAUAGGCAUCGUUCCAUUGCACGAGAAAGGAAUAUAUAUCCGUGUCGAAAAACUCGAAUUAACAUUCGGUUAUCUUGACGUACCUUCUCACUGGACGAAUUUUCCUACCGCGUUCAAGCUGAUCUGAACGCAGGUUUUAUAUCUCGAUAUUAUCGUAUUUGUACGUCUCUAUAUCGCUAUAUUCUCCAAUUGUCCUACAUUCAAAAUUCGUGAAUUUCGAAUCCACGAACCGAACAAAGCGUCUAACUUUACUCCUACGUCAUCGUGUUUCCAGAGAAGAAACGUCAAAGGGUUUCUCCAGCGAAUUCCCAAGAAACAAUAUUCUGUACCUUUGGAAGGGAACGGUUCCCGAACGUAGGUACAUUUUGCGCAAUGCAGGCUCUACAGCGAUACUUUUUCAUCGAUCUCCAUCCAUGGAACACAGAUUUGUGUCGCUACGUCUCGGAUGCGCGCGCGUGCGAACAAACAAGCACUGGCUUGUUACAGCGCUAUAAACACUUGUAGCACUUCUUAUCUCAGAUUUAGCGCAGAGAAACGUUCGCUGUAAAAAUUGUUACCCGGUAUUGGCUUAAAUUAUUUAUCAAUUUAUUCGAUUUACGAAAUCGAAUUUCUAAUUUUCUUGCUUAUUUAUCGAAUUCGUCCUCCAAGUUGUUAGGAAUACCGCAUCGUUGCUAGAAAUCUGCAAACGUUUUAACUAACGUUGAUUCGCGUUAAGUAAUGUUAAAAUUAACGAAACAUAUUUUAAUGUCAACGUUUCGUAUUUUAACCUACUAAUUUUAAUAAUAAAACCUUUGUUGCGAUGAUAUUCUGAUAAUAUUAAAUAGUAUCGAUUUGAAAUUUAUCGCUGGUUCGAACGGUGGUAUUGUUACGAUAAAAUUGGACUAAAGGUCAAAGCGACACGGGUUUCACACAGAUUUGACACUGAUACGACGUUGAUACGACAUGGCUAAAUCGAGGGACGAUACACCGUCUUAUGCGAGAAACGCAUGGUCUCGGAUAAU